AUUGAACGCUGGCGGCAUGCCUUACACAUGCAAGUCGAACGGUAACGCGGGGCAACCUGGCGACGAGUGGCGAACGGGUGAGUAAUGCAUCGGAACGUGCCCAGUAGUGGGGGAUAGCGCGGCGAAAGCCGGAUUAAUACCGCAUACGACCUACGGGUGAGAGCGGGGGACCGUAAGGCCUCGCGCUAUUGGAGCGGCCGAUGUCAGAUUAGGUGGUUGGUGGGGUAAAAGCCUCCCAAGACGACGAUCUGUAGCUGGUAUGAGAGGUCGACCAGCCACACUGGGACUGAGACACGGCCCAGACUCCUCCGGGAGGCAGCAGUGGGGAAUUUUGGACAAUGGGGGCAACCCUGAUCCAGCCAUGCCGCGUGCGGGAAGAAGGCCUUCGGGUUGUAAACCGCUUUUGUCAGGGAAGAAACGCUCUGGGCUAAUACCCCGGGGUAAUGACGGUACCUGAAGAAUAAGCACCGGCUAACUACGUGCCAGCAGCCGUCGCCGUAA
rnacentral:rRNA from 1 species